rnacentral:rRNA from 1 species
UACGGGGGGGGGCAAGCGUUGUUCGGAAUUACUGGGCGUAAAGGGUUCGUAGGUGGCCAACUAAGUCAGACGUGAAAUCCCUCAGCUUAACUGGGGAACUGCGUCUGAUACUGGUUGGCUUGAGUGCAGGAGAGGAACGCGGAAUUCCAGGUGUAGCGGUGAAAUGCGUAGAUAUCUGGAGGAACACCGGUGGCGAAGGCGGCGUUCUGGACUGCAACUGACACUGAGGAACGAAAGCCAGGGGAGCAAACAGG